GACUCUCGGCAACAUAUAUCUCGGCUCACGCAUCGAUGAAGAACGUAGCAAAAUGCGAUACUUGGUGUGAAUUGCAUAAUCCCGUGAACCACCGAUUUUUUGAUCGCAAGUUGCUCCUGAAGCAUCCAGUUGUGGGCACGUCUGCGUGGGUGUCACACAUUACGUCGCCCCCACCAGGCCAUCCCUUUUAGGGUUGCCUUGUGUUGGCGCGGAGAUUGGUCUCCCGUGCCCAUGGCGUGGUUGGCUUAAAUAGGAGUCUCCUCAUGAGGGACGCACGGCUAGUGGUGGUUGAUAAGACAGUCGUCUCGUGUCGUGCGUUUACUUUCUUCAGUGUAGAUGCUCUUAAAGUACCCCGACAUGUUAUCUUAUGACGAUGAUUCGAUCGCGACCCCAGGUUAGGCGGGACUACUCUCUGAGUUUAUGCAUAUCAAUAAGUGGAGGAAAAGAAAUCUACAAGAAUUCCCUUAUUAACGGUGAGCGAACCGGGAACAGCCCAGCUUGAAAAUCGGGCGGCUUCGUCGUCCGAAUUGUAGUAUGGAGAAGCGUCCUCAGUGGUGGACCUGGCCAGAGUCCCCUGGAAGGGGGCGCCGGAGAGGGUGAGAGCCCCAUCGUGCCCGGACCCUGUCGCACCAGGAGGCGCUGUCUGCGAGUCGGGUUGUUUGGGAAUGCAACCCCAAUAGUGCGGUAAAUUCCGUCUAAGGCUAAGUAGUGGCGUGAGACCGAUAGCGGCAUUGUCUGCCAGGACUGAGGAAAAUGCGGCAUGGAAAGGUCGGGCUGAGUAUAGGAUGGGCCGUAAGCCUAUAAGAAUUAAAAAAAAAAAUAAUAGUUAUUACAUAACAUUAAAUUGCUCGUAGAUAAAUGAAAUAAAAUUAAGAUAAUAUACCUGCAUGGAUGGGAUGGAGUGGGUAAAGGAUGGCAUGUACGGGCCGGGCUGCUGCGUAUAGAACGGGCCCCUAUCUGGAUAAACUCAUGGUGAUGGACGGGGUGGAACCGAUAUACCCAUAUACUUAUAUAUUUCACCCAUGCCAGUCAUCAGCCACCCCAUAUCAUCAUGCAUCCGACAGUGUCAGAAGUCGCAUCUGCUCAUUCUGGUUACGCAAAAUCCUGUCAAGAAGACGGUUGGUUGACCGAGGCAACCUAACCGCACGAUAAACUCUCUGUGGAUGCUAAGUAUAAACGUAUAAAGCAUGUAUGUUGGAUUUGAUUGUAUGAAUAACGUAUUUGCAAAUAAGUGUUUGCGUGCGUUUUGCAUAUAUAUAUAUAUAUAUAUAUAUAUAUAUAUAUAUAUAUACUAGUAGUUUACCCGCGCGAUGCGG
rnacentral:lncRNA from 1 species